UAGGAAUCUACCCUCAAGCGGGGGACAACCAAGGGAAACUUUGGCUAAUACCGCAUACACUCGAGAGAGGAAAGUUGCCGCAAGGUGACACUUGAGGAGGAGCCUGCGUCCGAUUAGCUAGUUGGUAGGGUAAAAGCCUACCAAGGCGAUGAUCGGUAACUGGUCUGAGAAGACGACCUGUCACACUGGGACUGCGACACGGCCCAGACUCCUACGGGAGGCAG
rnacentral:rRNA from 1 species